rnacentral:rRNA from 1 species
GUGAAGCGGCAACAGCUCAAAUUUGAAAUCUGGUCCCCCCCGCGGGGGCCCGAGUUGUACUUUGCAGAGGAUGCUUCGGGCGCGGCGCCGUCCAAGUCCCCUGGAACGGGGCGCCACAGAGGGUGAGAGCCCCGUCGGGACGGCCGCCAAGCCUGUGCGAAGCUCCCUCGACGAGUCGAGUAGUUUGGGAAUGCUGCUCUAAGCGGGAGGUAGACCCCUUCUAAAGCUAAAUACCGGCCAGAGACCGAUAGCGCACAAGUAGAGUGAUCGAAAGAUGAAAAGCACUUUGGAAAGAGGGUCAAACAGUACGUGAAAUUGUUGAAAGGGAAGCGCUUGCGACCAGACGUGCGCCGGGCGCUCCGCGGGCGUUCUCGCCCGCGCGCUCGCCCCGGCGCAGGCCAGCGUCGGCUCGGGAGGGGGGACAAAGGCGCCGGGCACGUAGCUCCCCCGGGAGUGUUAUAGCCCGGCGCGCCAUGCCCCCGCCCGGGCCGAGGUUCGCGCUCCGCAAGGACGCUGGCGUAAUGGUCCCCAGCGGCCCGUCUUGAAACACGGACCAAGGAGUCGAGGUUUUGCGCGAGUGUCUGGGUGCCAAACCCGCACGCGCAAUGAAAGUGAACGCAGGUGGGAGCUUCGGCGCACCACCGACCGAUCCUGAUGUUCUCGGAUGGAUUUGAGUAGGAGCGCAGGGCCUCGGACCCGAAAGAUGGUGAACUAUGCUUGGAUAGGGUGAAGCCAGAGGAAACUCUGGUGGAGGCUCGCAGCGGUUCUGACGUGCAAAUCGAUCGUCAAAUCUGAGCAUGGGGGCGAAA